rnacentral:lncRNA from 1 species
UGGAAAGGACCUCAAGGAUCAUGAAGCUCCUGCCUCCCUGCCGCAGGCAGGACCACCAACCUCCACAUUGAUACCAGCCCAGGCUGCCCAGGGCCCCAUCCAACCUGGCCUUGAACACCUCCAGGGAUGGACGGGGCAUCCACAGCCUCUCUGGGCAGCUGUUUCAGCACCUCACCGUUCUCACAUUAAAGAACUUCCCCCUGACAUCCAACCUAAAUCUUCCCUCCUUUAGCUUAAAACCAUUUCCCUUGUCCUGCCAUUAUCUACCCUUGUAAAGAGCAGGCUACUAUAGAGUUUAUCUUGGCUCUGGGAUCUGAUGUGACACUGGGAUCCCUUUACAACUACGUGAACAUGUAGUGAUCAUAAAGACAGUUAAACUGCUCAAACCUAUAAUUUCUACCUCUUCAAUGGUUCCAAAAUUGUUGCCAAAUCUGUGUAAAGCAGCUUUCACAUAAGUGGCUUCUAGGGAUCCUGAUUGAAUUAUUGAGGCUGGGUGUAUCAAAGCACAACAGCUGAGCCUUGGGAGGUGCUCAAGGAUGCACCUUUCACUGCGGAGUCACUUGACUUGUUUAAGCUUACUUCUCUGCAUCCUCAGCGAGAUUGAAUUAGUGUUUUUGUUGCAGGCUAAAUGCACACACAUAUGUGUAGCUAUUCUGGCUCAGCUGACAUGUGGCAUCACAUUGGACCUGGCUCUAUGGCUGAACUCCAAGAAUGAGCAACACCACAUCCAAGCUGGCUAUCAUGCCUGAAAACAUGAAGGAUUCACAUCACUGCAUUGCACUGAGCUUCAGAUGUGGCCAAUAUUUUGUCUGAGAUCUGACCCGUAAUUAAACCCAAUGCAAGGGCAUUGUUCAACGCCAUCCAGAGAGGUCCAGCCUUCAGUCCUCCCACCGCAGUGUUUUGGAGUUGAGAGUGAAACAGUGUAUAGAUAUUAACAUUAUUAAUAUCCCCUCUGUGUUCUCUCAUUAAUGCAAGUCUUUAUGGAGCACAUUGGCAUGGCUCUAUUCUUGCUCUGUUCCUCCUUGGUUCCUUCUUCUGUCUGAUUGACAUGAAGGAGCAUCUCCAUUUGUAAACAUCUGCUGAUGGGUCACUACUUGUCUUUUACCCUGUUUAGCAGCUCAGUCUUCCCUCUCCUCUUGACUGACUGAAGUACCUGUGGCUGAUACACGAUAAGAGGAGCGGGGCUGUGAUGUGUGAGAUAAACCGAAUCAUGCCUCUGCAUAAAGGUAGGGUAAGGCAGAAACAAUUUGAUUACUGAAACUCCAAGGUGUAAAGGUGUGUGUGUUGUUUUCUUAUAUUGAAGGAAGUGUUGGAACCAUUGUGAGAUCAUAGGAUUAAUGGAGACCGUCCUUAUUAAAUGGGUACUCGCCUCUCACAGUAAUAAAAAAAUAUAUGGAAGACCA